rnacentral:misc_RNA from 1 species
GAUGAAGAACGUAGCGAAAUGCGAUAAGUAAUGUGAAUUGCAGAAUUCAGUGAAUCAUCGAAUCUUUGAACGCACAUUGCGCCCGCCAGUAUUCUGGCGGGCAUGCCUGUUCGAGCGUCAUUUUAACCAUCAAGCCCCAGGCUUGUGUUGGGGACCUGCGGCUGCCGCAGGCCCUGAAAACCAGUGGCGGGCUCGCUGUCACACCGGGCGUAGUAGAUUUUAUCUCGCUCAGGGCGUGCUGCGGGUUCCGGCCGUUAAAAAGCCUUUUUUACCCAAGGUUGACCUCGGAUCAGGUAGGAAGACCCGCUGAACUUAAGCAUAUCAAUAAGCGGAGGA